rnacentral:misc_RNA from 1 species
AAGUCGUAACAAGGUUUCCGUAGGUGAACCUGCGGAAGGAUCAUUACAAAUUUGGUCUUUACCGACCAUCUUCAACUUACUGUUGUGCAACUACUCGCCGACUGGUGCAAACCGAGGUGCGUGAGAGCGGGACUCGUGUUUAGUUGUUGAACUUGAUGGUAAACUCAAUGAUGAUAACAUCUGUGUAUUCGAUUGGGAGCUGCAGCCUUACAGCCGCGGAGCUCAAUUGGAUUGCGGAUGGUGACAGAGUUACAGUGAGCCUGAUAUUAAACUAUAAACAAGGGUACCGUUCAAGCGUUCCCGAGGUGACCACCGUCAACUUUGUUAACCAAACCUUUAAUUCAAAUCCUAAACCAAUCUCGAGCUCAGUACUGGGCGUAGACAGAUUACACAAAUACAACUUUUAGCAACGGAUCUCUAGGCUCUC